UACGUAGGGUGCGAGCGUUAAUCGGAAUUACUGGGCGUAAAGCGUGCGCAGGCGGUGAUGUAAGACAGGUGUGAAAUCCCCGGGCUUAACCUGGGAAUUGCAUUCGAGACUGCAUGGCUAGGGUGCGGAAGAGGGAAGCGGAAUUUCCGGUGUAGCGGUGAAAUGCGUAGAUAUCGGAAGGAACACCAGUGGCGAAAGCGGCUUCCUGGUCCAGCACCGACGUUCAGGCACGAAAGCGUGGGGAGCAAACAGG
rnacentral:rRNA from 1 species